rnacentral:rRNA from 1 species
UGCCAGCAGCCGCGGUAAUACGUAGGGGGCGAGCGUUGUCCGGAUUCAUUGGGCGUAAAGCGCGCGCAGGCGGCUCCGUAAGUCGGCCGUGAAAUCUCCGGGCUCAACUCGGAGGGGCCGGGCGAGACUGGGGAGCUGGAGGCGGGUAGGGGGCCGUGGAAUUCCGGGUGUAGUGGUGGAAUGCGUAGAGCUCCGGAGGAACACCAGUGGCGAAGGCGGCGGCCUGGGCCCGACCUGACGCUGAGGCGCGAAAGCGUGGGGAGCGAGCCGGAUUAGAUA